rnacentral:rRNA from 1 species
GACGAACGCUGGCGGCGUGCUUAACACAUGCAAGUCGAACGGAAAGGCCCUGCUUUUGUGGGGUGCUCGAGUGGCGAACGGGUGAGUAACACGUGAGUAACCUGCCCUUGACUUUGGGAUAACUUCAGGAAACUGGGGCUAAUACCGGAUAGGAGCUCCUGCUGCAUGGUGGGGGUUGGAAAGUUUCGGCGGUUGGGGAUGGACUCGCGGCUUAUCAGCUUGUUGGUGGGGUAGGGGCUUACCAAGGCUUUGACGGGUAGCCGGCCUGAGAGGGGGACCGGCCACAAUGGGACUGCGAUACGGCGCAGACUGCUACGGGAGGCAGCAGUGGGGAAUAUUGCACAAUGGGCGGAAGCCUGAUGCAGCAACGCCGCGUGCGGGAUGACGGCCUUCGGGUGGUAAACCGAUUUCGCAUGUGACGAAGCGUGAGUGACGGUAAUGGGUAAAGAAGCACCGGCUAACUACGUG